rnacentral:snRNA from 1 species
AAUGCUUCUCAGCUUUUUGGCUAAGAUCAAGUUCAGUAUCUGCUCAUUAGUUUAGUAUCUGAUGUUCCUCCAUCCAAGGACAAUAUAGGAAAUGGAUUUUUGGAGCAGGGAGAUGGAAUAGGCACUGUUCCAUCCACCCUUUCAUCGACCUGUCAUCACAGUACCCCCCCAAGUAAUGGUGCACCCCCA